rnacentral:rRNA from 1 species
UACAGGAGGGGUCUAGCGUUGUCCGGAAUUACUGGGCGUAAAGCGUGCGUAGGUGGUUUGUUAAGUCAGGGGUGAAAUCCUGGAGCUCAACUCCAGAACUGCCUUCGAUACUGGCGAUCUUGAGUCCGGAAGAGGUGAGUGGAACUCCUAGUGUAGAGGUGGAAUUCGUAGAUAUUAGGAAGAACACCAGUGGCGAAGGCGGCUCACUGGUCCGGUACUGACGCUGAGGUGGCGAAAGCGUGGGGAGCAAACAGG